GAUGAACGCUGGCGGCGUGCCUAAUACAUGCAAGUCGAGCGAACGGACGAGAAGCUUGCUUCUCUGAUGUUAGCGGCGGACGGGUGAGUAACACGUGGAUAACCUACCUAUAAGACUGGGAUAACUUCGGGAAACCGGAGCUAAUACCGGAUAAUAUUUUGAACCGCAUGGUUCAAAAGUGAAAGACGGUCUUGCUGUCACUUAUAGAUGGAUCCGCGCUGCAUUAGCUAGUUGGUAAGGUAACGGCUUACCAAGGCAACGAUGCAUAGCCGACCUGAGAGGGUGAUAGGCCACACUGGAGCUGAGACACGGUCAAGACUACUACGGGAGGCAGCAGUAGGGAAUCUUACGCAAUGGGCGAAAGCCUGACGGAGCAACGCCGCGUGAGUGAUGAAGGUCUUCGGAUCGUAAAACUCUGUUAUUAGGGAAGAACAUAUGUGUAAGUAACUGUGCACAUCUUGACGGUACCUAAUCAGAAAGCCACGGCUAACUACGUG
rnacentral:rRNA from 1 species